AUACGUAGGUGACAAGCGUUAUCCGGAUUUACUGGGCGUAAAGGGCGUGUAGGCGGUCUUGCAAGUCAGAAGUGAAAUUCCUGAGCUCAACUCGGGCGCUGCUUCUGAAACUGCAGGACUUGAGUGCUGGAGGGGAUAGCGGAAUUCCUAGUGGAGCGGUAAAAUGCGCAGAUAUUAGGAAGAACACCGGUGGCGAAGGCGGCUAUCUGGACAGUAACUGACGCUGAGGCGCGAAAGCGUGGGGAGCAAACAGGAUUAGAUACCCUGGUAGUCCACGCCGUAAACGAUGAGUACUAGGUGUCGGGGGUUACCCCCCUCGGUGCCGCAGCUAACGCAUUGAGUACUCCGCCUGGGGAGUACGCUCGCAAGAGUGAAACUCAAAUGAAUUGACGGGG
rnacentral:rRNA from 1 species